ACAAAUUCUCAAAUUGUUUGUCAGUCUCACGAAGUCAGUGAAAUAACUUGUUUUAUGAAAUCUUGAAGUACAAAUUCAAAUUCAGUGAACAGAUUUUAUGAAAGCAUGAAGGGAAAAAAUCAUUCUCCAAGAAUGAUGCAAGAUAUUUUUAUUAAAGCCAAAGUCCAGGAAUGACAAAUGUUAUUUAAAGUGAUUUUCAUUUAAAAGCCAAAAUCAACCAUUGCUGUCUCGGCAAGACCAAUGGGAAUUCUCUGUCAUGUAGAUGUUUUAUUUUUUUUCCACGAGGUACUAUCAUUGACUUAAACAUUUAGCACACCUAGAUCUGUAUGAUACUAUUUUUAGACUUUGUUGGCCAUUGUAUACAUGACUUCGUUGUAAUGGUAUUAUUAUCAGUAGAUGUGUUGUGAAAUGCUUUUUCUUUCUUGGUGCUAAAUAUAUAUAUUGAUGUUUUAUGCUUCAUUGUUAGAAUCGUACUUAAAAGUACACCAUUAAAGUUAGAUCUGAUUAAAUU
rnacentral:sRNA from 1 species